rnacentral:rRNA from 1 species
AGGCCACUGCUAUCGGGGUUUGACUAAGCCAUGCGAGUCGAGAGGUGCAAGACCUCGGCGAACUGCUCAGUAACACGUGGACAAUCUGCCCUGAAGAAGAGGAUAAUCCCGGGAAACUGGGGGUGAUACUCUAUAGUCCGGGAGGACUGGAAUGUUCUCCGGAUGAAAGAUCCGUCGCUUCAGGAUGAGUCUGCGGCCGAUUAGGUAGUUGUUGGGGUAAAAGCCCAACAAGCCUGUAAUCGGUACGGGUUGUGGGAGCAAGAGCCCGGAGAUGGAUUCUGAGACACGAAUCCAGGCCCUACGGGGCGCAGCAGGCGCGAAAACUUUACAAUGCGGGCAACCGUGAUAAGGAAACCCCGAGUGCCAGCAUAGGCUGGCUGUCCGCCAGUGUAAAUAACUGGUGAAGAAAGGGCCGGGCAAGACCGGUGCCAGCCGCCGCGGUAAUACCGGCGGCUCGAGUGGUGGCCGCUUUUACUGGGCUUAAAGGGUCCGUAGCUGGAUUCACAAGUCCCUUGAGAAAUCCAUCGGCUUAACUGAUGGGCGUUCAGGGGAUACUGUGGUUCUAGGGACCGGGAGAGGUGAGAGGUACUGCCGGGGUAGGAGUGAAAUCCUGUAAUCCCGGUGGGACGACCUAUGGCGAAGGCAUCUCACCAGAACGGCUCCGACAGUGAGGGACGAAAGCUGGGGGAGCAAACCGGAUUA